AGCACAUGCCUGAAACAUCACACCAAAUUGUUCUGCAUGGAUCAGUCCGAGAAACUUAAAAGAUUGAAGUGAUCAAGGUGAUAUCUGGCAUAUGGGUUGCUGCCAGGAAGGAGAGUGCCAGAUGUUUUGGCAAUUCAGGCACACAGGCAAUGAGUUGUAGCCUCAGUCCAGGGUUUGGUGGGCAAUUGUCUGGUCAUUCAGUCUAGUUUAUUCAAUGACAAGAACUUUAUCAAGAAAUAGCAUUAAAAUUAAAGUUUAUAUAUAUUGAUUUUUUUAGGGGGUUGGUAUGUUAUAUAUGGGGUUGGUAUAUGUAUGUUUUUUUUUUUUUUUUGCAUGAAUAGAAAGUUCAAAAGAACAGCAUUUAUUUGAAAUUA
ensembl:lncRNA